AUCAUUGUUCUUUUAUGCUGUUAGACGGAUAGCUUGGUUUAAGUUGUGAUGAAGGACGUGGCAAGCUGCGAUAAGCCUUGGGGAAGUGCAUGCGACUUUUGAUCCAAGGAUUUCCGAAUGCGAGAACGCUUUGUAGUCCAAGAGGACGAUAUACUCAGGGAAUUGAAACAUCUUAGUACCUGAAGGAAAAGAAAACAAUAAGUGAUACCCUUAUUAGCAGCGAGCGAACAGGGUAAAGGGCAAACUGAAUCUACUCCAGAAAUGGAGUUAGAAAUGUGGUGAAAAUUGAAUCCUCAUUCAUAAAUUGAAAUGUUUUGGAAAGAAAUACCUUAGAGGGUGACAGUCCCGUAGAUGAAUUGAAAAGGAUCGGUUUUCGAAAGAGUAAUGUCUCCCAGAUUAGAGGCAUGAACAUGGCAGAAUUAACUGCCAACCCUAAAUAUGAACUUAAGUCCGAUAGCGUACUAGUACUGCGAGGGAAAGCUGAAAAGUACUCUUGUAAGAGAGUUAAAAGACUUGAAAUCUAAUAGCUACAGUUUGUUACUGCUCUCUAUGGAGAGUUGUAACGUACGUCUUGAAAAACGGGCCAGGGAGUUUAUUUCAAUGGCAAGGUUAACAUAAGGAGCCGAAGCGAAAGCAAGUCUGAAAAGGCGAGAGUCAUUGAGAUAAGACCUGAAGCCAGAUGAUCUAAUCGUGAGCAAGGUGAAGUUUUCCGAAAGGAAAAUGGAGGCCUGAACCAGUGUUGUGUGCAUGCACUUGGAUGACUUGCGAUUAGGGGUGAAAAGCCUAUCUAAUCUGGCAAUGGCUGGUUCCUGCUGAAAUAUGCCUACGUAUAGUCUCAUUAUUUUUUCUUACGGUGUAAAGGACGGAUAGGUCGUGCAGAGGGCUUUUCCUACGGCGAACUUUCCAACUCAGAAGUUGUGAGAUAUUUAUAAUGGGAAACAGUGGCGGCGCGUAAGGUGACGUCACGAGACCGGAACAAAGGAGACCAGGGUUAAGGUCCCAAAAUGUAUGUUAAGUGCAUCAAAAGGAGUCUUAAACCAGAGACAGUGGGGAGGUAGACAUAGAAGCCGUCAUCCUUUAAAGAAAGCGUAACAGCUCACCUAUCGAGGUUUGAGGCCCUGAAAAUGGACGGGGCUAAAACAUACUACCGACACCUUGGAGAUACUCAUUUUGGAGUAUUCUGGUAAGCGGGCGUACUUUUGGUUUAGAAGCUUUUUCUAAAGAAAGAGUGGAACUAAAAGUAAUGAGAAUCCUGGCAAUAGUAAGAACAAAUUUUGCUGAGAAUCGCAAAAUGUCGUAAGAGCAAGGUUUCCUUGGCAAUAUCAAUUAUCCAAGGGUUAGUCAGCUCCUAAGUUGUACCUUAACUGAAUACAUCGAUGGAUAACAGGUUAAUAUUCCUGUACUGCUUAUGUUUUAGGAUUUGGUUUUGCUUCAGGAUAAGCAGACAUCUGAGAAGAUGUUCAGUGCUUGAGAGUAGGGGAGUAUAAUGCAUAGAUCCUAUUGAAGAGUGCUGGUGAAAACUGCUGAUUCCAGGAGCCAGUGAAAAGUCUAAAUAUUAUGAACAUAGGUAGCUGUACCGAGAACCGACACUGGUGCUCUAGCUGAGAAGGCUAAGACAUGAAAGGCUAAUCUAGUUAAGGGAAUUCGGCAACAUUGGCCCUUUAGCUUCGGUAUAAGGGGUGUCUAUCUUUGUCUUUUUAGAAAUAGGAAGGCAUUGAUAGAUCUCAGUAACAAGGACGGUUCGACUGUUUAUCAAAAACAUAUCUGGUUGCUAAUCCGAAAGGACUUGUAUAACCGGUGAGACCUGCCCAGUGGUGGUGCUUAAAACUCUAUUUCAAUGGAGCUAAGACCCAUCAAACGGCGGGCCUAAUUCCUGAGGCUCAACUUAAGGGUCUCGUUAAACUCGACUAUAUGCUGGAAACCCUAAAUGCAAAGGCAUUUAAGUUACAUUCUACUUAAUUAAGUGAAAAUGGAUGUAGCGCAUGGGCAAUCAGCAGGGAAGUACCAAAAGAGAUUUUCAAAACAAAAAUAUCUUAAUUAUUAUAUUGCAGGAUUUGUCGACGGAGAAGGAGCAUUUCCUAUUCAAAUUAGGAAAACUUACGAUACUAAAUUUAAGUAUACAAUAACUCCGGAAUUUAAGGUAAGUCAGCAUAAAGAUGGUAAAGAGAUUUUAGAAAUAAUAAGAAAUUCUCUAAGAUGUGGUAAAAUAUCAAUUAAAUCUGGACAACCAAAUCUUUUAGUUUUGGUUGAAAAGAAUAGAAAAAAUCUUAUAGAAAAAAUAAUCCCUUUUUUUAGGAGAUAUCCUUUAAUAGUUAAAUCAAAACAAUUUCAGUUAUUUUCAGAAAUUGUUGAAAGAAUAGAAAAAGGAGAACACAAAUCUGAAAAAGGAUUCAAAAAUUUAGUAGAACUUGUAUAUAAAACAAAAGGAAAGUGAAAAAGAAAACAUUUUAAAGAAGAUGUGCUAAAUUUUAGGUACCCCUCAGAGACUAUACGUCGAGCAUAAAGCUUUCGAAGAAAACCUAAUAUAGUUUCUUUGAACUCAUAAAAUGUUUCUUUUCUAAAGAAAGCUUGUAUGAAGAUAUAGUCCGACCUACAUGGUAACAUGUAGAGCUUAACAGAAAUGUUAAGCCGCCUAUUUUAAAAUAGGUAGUAGCUCUUCGGAGUGAAAGUAACACUUUGCUUAAGGUGGAUUACACUGCUUUACGUCGCUGGAAACAGCUACGCUGUGUAACCUCUAGGAAUUAAGAACCAAUUAAGGAGCUAAUGAAAAACGAAUUAAACCAAAAAACACAGAAAAUUUGGCUAUAUGCUGGAACGUCUUGUUGAAGUUUGAUAGGAUACUAAAAUCGUGAGAUUUUAGCGAACCCUAAAAAUUCAAAUGAAGAGAUAAUCAGCAGGGAAGAUUUCUCAUUGAGAAAAACCCUCAGAGACUAUACGCCAAACAUAAACUAAAACUAGAAACCUAUAAAUAGCUUAAUUUCUAUAAUAUCCUAUGGUAAAUCAAACUGUAACUAUAGAUAGAAAUGAACUUACUAAACUUGCCGAAAUGUUGCAAGAAGUUCAAGAUAGAUUAGAAUCAUUAGAACUUGCAAGUGAUCCAGAGCUUAUGGAAUCCUUGAAAAAAUCCAAGGAAGAAAUAGCUAAAGGAGAAGUUGUAGAUUUUGAUGACUUAUAAAAUUCAGGCUUCUAAGACAUUUGAGAAAGAUUUUAGGAAACUUGAUAAAUAUCUUCAAGAGAAGAUUAAGAAUAAGUCUAGAGAAGUUGCAGAGAAUCCAAAAAGAUAUAAGCAUAUGCAUCCUCCAAUGAACGAUUAUUGCAGGAUCAGAAUUGAGAAAUUAAGAAUUUUAUUUUCUUAUGAUGUUCAAAAAGAAAUUCUUUAUUUAGAAAAGAUAAUUUUUGGACAUAAGUAUUAGUUUAUGAAGAUAUAGUCCGAACCUUGUAGAGAUGCAAGGAGUUAUGCAGAAAUGUAUAACCGACGUUUGAAUUAUAUAAAACCUUAAAUAUUUCUUAUUUGUUUUUAAAAUAUGGAUAGAAAUAUAUCUGUUUUAAGAGUAAAAAGUUUUUUUGAGAGUCAAAUAGUUGAAGCAACUAAAUAUUACCAUGAGAAACUCUCUAGAGAAGAUUUGCCAUUUGAAGAGAGAACUCUUUAUCAAGGUGCAUUAAAAGCAUUACAAAUAUUAAAAAGAAAUUAUGCAAUAAUUAAAAAGAAAUUAUGCAAUAUCUUUUCCAGAAAUAUUAGUUAUUCAAGUAGAUAAUCAAGCGCCAAGUAGCAAUCUUGAAAAAAAAUUGUGAAGUAACACUUUGAGCGUAAUACCUUGUCGUCUGAAUGGCGACUUGCAUGAAUGGUUUAACGAAAUCGUCACUGUCCCUAACUAGAACCUUCUGAAAAUAUUGUCCGGUGAACAGACCGGAGACGUCUAAUGGGAAGCGAAGACCUUGUGGACCUUUACUGCAACUUGUUGUUGUGAAUUUAUAAUUGGUACCUAGAAUAAGUAGGAGAAUACGCGCAGCUUCGGCGAGGCGGCAUGUCAACAGUGUAAUACUACUUACUUUUUAUAGGUUUACUUACUCUUUUGAGGACACCAGCAGGCGGGCAGUUUGGCUGGGGCGGCACCCCUCUGAAAAGAUAUCGGAGGGGCCUAAAGACGAGCUCAUCUACGUCGGAAAUGUAGAGUGGAGUGUAAAGGCAAAAGCUUGUCUAACUGUUUUUCGAAAAGCAAGAAAAGCAGAGGUGAAAGCCGGGCUUAGCGAACCAUUGAGGGCUUUUAAUGGGUCCCAAUUGUGACAGAAAAGGUACCCCAAGGAUAACUGGGUUGUCUCGCCCGAUAGUUCAUAUUGACGGCGAGGCUUGCUACACCGCUGUCGGCUCUUCCUAUCCUGGCUGUGCAUAAGCAGCCAAGGGCGUCGGAGUUCACGCAUUAAAAGGAAUCGUUAGCUGGGUUAAGAUCGUCGUGAGACAGAUUGUAUGAUAUCUAUUAGACGCGCUGUUGUUUGAGUGGAAGGACAUUCUAGUACGAGAGGAACGAGUGUCCGGAGCCUCUGGUGUACCAGUUGUUAUGAGCAGGCUGGGUAGCUACGCUCUGUAUGGAUAAGUGCUGAAAGCAUCUAAGCACGAAGCCAUCCGCAAGACGAGACAACAAAGGCCGUUAUAGAAGAUAACGUUGAUAGAGUUGAUGUGUAAGCACGAAGCUUCGGCGACGUGUUCAGCAUUCGACUACUAAAAGCCUCACUUAUGCUCGA
rnacentral:rRNA from 1 species